rnacentral:rRNA from 1 species
AGUGAACGCUGGCGGUGGGCCUAACACAUGCAAGUCGAACGGCAGCACAGUAAGAGCUUGCUCUUACGGGUGGCGAGUGGCGGACGUGUGAGGAAUACAUCGGAAUCUACUUUUUCGUGUGGGUUAACGUAGGGAAACUUACGCUAAUACCGCAUACGACCUACGGGUGAAAGCAGUGGAUCUUCGGACCUUGCGCGAUUGAAUGAGCCGAUGUGGGAUUAGCUAGUUGGCGGGCUAAAGGCCCACCAAGGCGACGAUCCGUAGCUGGUCUGAGAGGAUGAUAGCCGACACUGGAGCUGGGACAGCGUCCAGGCUACUACGGGAGGCAGCAGAGGGGAAUGUUGGACAGUGGGGGCAAACCUGGUCCAGCGAUAGCGAGUGGGUGGCGAAGGCGUCGGGGUUGUAAAGACGUUUUGUUGGGAAAGAAAAGCAGCAGGUUAAUACCAAGCUGUUCUGACGGUACCCAAUGAAUAAGCACCGGCUAACUUCGUG